GCCAGGAGCGGUGGUGCACACCUGUGAUCCAAGUUGCUUGGGAGGCUGAGGCAGGAGGAUUGCAAAAAAGGCUAACCUGGGCAAUUUAAUGAGAUCCUGUUUCAA
rnacentral:sRNA from 1 species